UACGUAGGGGGCAAGCGUUGUCCGGAUUUAUUGGGCGUAAAGAGCGUGUAGGCGGCCAGAUAGGUCAGCUGUGAAAACUCGAGGCUCAACCUCGAGACGUCGGUUGAAACCAUCUGGCUAGAGUCCGGAAGAGGAGAGUGGAAUUCCCGGUGAUAGCGGUGAAAUGCGCAGAUAUCGGGAAGAACACCCGUGGCGAAGGCGGCUCUCUGGGACGGUACUGACGCUGAGACGGCGAAAAGCGUGGGGAGCGAACAGG
rnacentral:rRNA from 1 species